AUUGAACGCUGGCGGCAUGCCUUACACAUGCAAGUCGAACGGCAGCACGGGAGCAAUCCUGGUGGCGAGUGGCGAACGGGUGAGUAAAGUAUCGGAACGUGCCCAGUCGUGGGGGAUAACGUAGCGAAAGCUACGCUAAUACCGCAUACGAUCUAUGGAUGAAAGCGGGGGACCGUAAGGCCUCGCGCGAUUGGAGCGGCCGAUAUCAGAUUAGGUAGUUGGUGAGGUAAAGGCUCACCAAGCCGACGAUCUGUAGCUGGUCUGAGAGGACGACCAGCCACACUGGGACUGAGACACGGCCCAGACUCCUACGGGAGGCAGCAGUGGGGAAUUUUGGACAAUGGGCGCAAGCCUGAUCCAGCAAUGCCGCGUGCAGGAUGAAGGCCUUCGGGUUGUAAAGGACUUUUGUCGGGGAGGAAAUCCCCAGCGUUAAUACCGCUGGGGGAUGACAGUACCUGAAGAAUAAGCACCGGCUAACUACGUGCCAGCCGCCGCCGUAACAC
rnacentral:rRNA from 1 species